rnacentral:snRNA from 1 species
AUGCUCUGGUUUCUCUUCAGAUGGCACAAAUCUUUCGCCUUUUACUAAAGAUUUCUGUGGAGAGGAACAAAUCUGAGUUUCAGCUCAAUUUUUUGAGAUCCUGUUAUGAAAAAGGGG